rnacentral:rRNA from 1 species
CGGCGUGCUUAACACAUGCAAGUCGAACGGAGCACCCUUGAAUGAGACUUCGGUAACAGGAAGAAGCUUGCUUCUUUGCUGACGAGUGGCGGACGGGUGAGUAAUGUCUGGGAAACUGCCUGAUGGAGGGGGAUAACUACUGGAAACGGUAGCUAAUACCGCAUAACGUCGCAAGACCAAAGGAGGGGGACCUUCGGGCCUCUUGCCAUCGGAUGUGCCCAGAUGGGAUUAGCUAGUAGGUGGGGUAACGGCUCACCUAGGCGACGAUCCCUAGCUGGUCUGAGAGGAUGACCAGCCACACUGGAACUGAGACACGGUCCAGACUCCUACGGGAGGCAGCAGUGGGGAAUAUUGCACAAUGGGCGCAAGCCUGAUGCAGCCAUGCCGCGUGUAUGAAGAAGGCCUUCGGGUUGUAAAGUACUUUCAGGCGGGGAGGAAGGGAGUAAAGUUAAUACCUUUGCUCAUUGACGUUACCCGCAGAAGAAGCACCGGCUAACUCCGUG